rnacentral:rRNA from 1 species
CUACGGGCCGCAGCAGUGGGGAAUAUUGCACAAUGGAGGAAACUCUGAUGCAGCGACGCCGCGUGAGCGAAGAAGUAUUUCGGUAUGUAAAGCUCUAUCAGCAGGGAAGAAAAAAAUGACGGUACCUGACUAAGAAGCCCCGGCUAACUACGUGCCAGCAGCCGCGGUAAUACGUAGGGGGCAAGCGUUAUCCGGAUUUACUGGGUGUAAAGGGAGCGCAGGCGGUCUGACAAGUCUGAUGUGAAAGCCCGGGGCUCAACCCCGGGACUGCAUUGGAAACUGCCAGACUUGAGUGUCGGAGAGGUAAGUGGAAUUCCUAGUGUAGCGGUGAAAUGCGUAGAUAUUAGGAGGAACACCAGUGGCGAAGGCGGCUUACUGGACGACAACUGACGCUGAGGCUCGAAAGCGUGGGGAGCAAACAGGAUUAGAUACCCGAGUAGUC